CGGCGCGGAGCAGUGUGCGGGCGGCGGGGAGCGAGCGGCCGCGGCGACACUCCAGGCUCCCGGCACCCGCACCGCACAGCUCCUGAGGGCGGUGCUCUGGCCAUGUGCAGCCCGGAGGAGGAGGCCCUGCUGCGGCUGGAGGAGGUCUUCUCGGCUACCCUCGCCCGCGUCAACAGCCUUGUCCUCCUGCCCCUGCUCGAAACCACCCCGGAGCCCUCGGACCCCCAGGGCAGAGAGUGCCUCCGGCUCUUGCAGCGGCUGCACUGGAGCUCCCAGCGGCUCUGGGAGGUGACGGAGGAGAGCUUGCACUCGCUGCGGGAGAGGCUGUGCCACCAGGACACCGUGGGUCUGGAGUCCCUGAUGUUGCUGCAGCACGCGGAGCGCGUCCUGCAGGCCCACGUGGAGUACAUCGAGUCCUACAGUAGCUGUGUGGUGGUGCAGGCCUUUCAGAAGGCAGCAAAGAAGAGGAGGGAGUUCUGGCGGGGCCAGCGGAAGGCCCUGUGGCAGCUCCUGCCCGGCGUGAGCCCCGAGGCCUCAGUGGGCACGGUGCUGGCCCAGGCCCUCCACCAGCCACUGGCCCAUCACGUGCAGCAGUAUGUGCUCCUCCUGCUGAGCUUCGGGGACACUGCUGCGGAGCCUCACCGCACUCGGGAGCUGGUGGUGCACGCAGCCACCCUCUUUGUGAACCUGCAGUCCUUCCUGAGGCAGGCACUGGACCAGGCCCUGGCCACGCAGGCUCUCUGGCACUCCCUGAGCAGCCGGCUGAGAGAUGGGCUCUGCACCCCUGAGCGCCGACUCCUGCAGGACAGCCAGGAUGUGCCUGUGACGGUCACCCCACUGCGGGCGGAGCGCGUGCUGCUCUUUGACGAUGCCCUUGUCCUGCUGCAGGGUCACAGUGUCCACACCUUUGAUCUGAAGCUGGUGUGGGUGGAUCCUGGGCAGGACAGGUGCACGUUUCACCUCCUCACACCUGAGGAAGAGCUCUCCUUUUGCUCCAAGGCCCCCCAGGACCGGAUGGUCUGGCAGUGGAAAGUGACUCAGGCUGUGUGCCAGGCCCUGCGUGGGAAGAAGGACUUCCCUGUGCUGGGGGCGGACCUGGAGCCUUCUGAGCCCCCCACCUGCCGCUGCGUGGCAUACACCUUCCGCGCCGAGGGCCGGCUCUGCCAGGCCACCUACGAGGGCGAGUGGUGUCGGGGCAGGCCCCAUGGCAGGGGCACCCUGAAGUGGCCCGAUGGCCGGAAUCACGUGGGGAACUUUUGCCAGGGCCUGGAGCACGGCUUCGGCAUCCGCCUGGUGCCUCAGGGCCCCGAGGACAGAUUUGACUGUUACAAGUGCCACUGGCGGGAAGGCAGCAUGUGUGGCUACGGCAUCUGUGAGUACGGCACUGAUGAGGUGUACAAGGGCUACUUCCGGGCGGGCCUGCGGCACGGAUUUGGGGUCCUCGCGAGCGCCCCACGGGCCCUGCAGCCCUGCAAGUACACGGGCCACUGGGAGAGGGGCCAGCGGAGCGGAUACGGUGUCGAGGAGGACGGUGCCAGGGGCGAGCGCUAUAUUGGCAUGUGGCAGGCCGACCAGCGCCAUGGCCCAGGGGUCAUGGUCACCCAGGCCGGUGUCUGCUACCAGGGGACCUUCCAGGCGGACAAGAUGGUGGGCCCCGGGAUCCUCCUCUCUGAAGACGACUCCUUGUAUGAGGGCACCUUCACCAGGGACCUGACCCUUGUGGGGAAGGGCAAGGUCACCUUCCCCAAUGGCUUCACCCUGGAGGGCUCUUUUGGCAGCGGGGCAGGGAAAGGACUGCAUACCCAGGGUGUGCUGGACACAGCUGCCUUCCCACCAGAUCCAAGCAGCACCCGUAAGAGGCAGCUAGGUGUGGGCAUCUUCCCCGUGGAGAGCCACUGGCAGGGUGUCUAUGGCCCCUUCCGGGACUUCGUUAGUGCUGGCUGCCCUGGGGACGAGCAGGAGGCCCUGCUGGGCUUCCACGUGCAGAACUCGAGGGAGCUGCGCAAGUCCCAGGAGUACCUGUGCUGCGAGAGGACCCAGCCCGAGCCCUGUGCGGACAGAAUGGAAGGCAUCCUAGAUGAGCUACUGCUGCACCGGGAGCCCAGGGCCCUGCGGGAGUGCCUCAGGAAGGCUCUGAGCAACUCGCUGCACCCCCUGGGAAAGCUACUCCGGACCCUGAUGCUGACCUUCCAGGCCACGUACGCAGGCAUCGGGGCCAACAAGCACCUGCAGGCACUGGCCCAGGAAGAGGUGAAGCAGCACGCCCGGGAACUCUGGGCUGCCUACAGGGGUCUGCUGCAGGUGGCCUUACAGCGCAAGGGCCAAGCUCCAGAAGAGGACGAGGAUACGGAGACAAGGGACCUGCAGGUGCAUGGCCUGGUGCUGCCCCUCAUGCUGCCCAGCUUCUACUCGGAGCUCUUCACUCUCUACCUCCUGCUUCACGAGACGGAGGACAGUCUCUACAGCCAGGGCAUUGCCAACCUGAGCCUCUUCCCUGACACCAAGCUGCUCGAGUUCCUGGACGUGCAGAAGCACCUGUGGCCCCUCAAGGACCUCACGCUGACAACCAAUCAGAGGCUCUCCCUGGUCAGGGACAAGUGCUUCCUGUCAGCCACUGAGUGUCUGCAGAAGAUCAUCACCACGGUGGACCCCAGGGAGAAGCUGGAGGUGCUGGAGAGGACAUACGGGGAAAUUGAGGCCACCGUAUCACGUGUGCUGGGCCGGGAGCACAAGCUGCCCAUGGACGACCUGCUGCCGCUGCUCAUCUACGUGGUGUCACGUGCCCGAAUCCAGCACCUGGGAGCUGAGAUCCACCUGAUCCGCGACAUGAUGGACCCCAUCCACGCAGGAGGCCUAUGUGACUUCCUGCUCACGGCCCUGGAGUCCUGUUACGAGCACAUCCAGAAGGAAGACAUGAGGUUGCACCGCUUUCCUGGCCGCUGGGACUCCAGGGAGCCCUGGUAGCUCGGCUGCCCGGGGCCCGCUGCAGAGUGGAGAGGGGCUGCCACGGAUUUCCCCGGGGAGCAAGCAUGGCCCGGCCUGGCCCUCGCCGCCCGCAGAGCAGACGACAGGCUGGGGCCGUGGAGGUGGCUCUCGGAGGAGAUGAGCAGUUAGUGUCUCCCAGGGAGACGAGGCUGCCGAGGCUGCCACCCUGAGCGCUGCCCACUGUGACCCUGGAGCUGGGGGCUUCCCCUCCCCCCUCCCCCCCUCCCCCCCCGCCACUCGGUCAGUCUCGGACCAUCUCCUUGACCUGCCUUGGCUCACGGGCUUUUUGCUUCCUGACCCUGCCCGGGCCUCAGCGUUGCUGUCUGUAUCCCAGUGGCCUAGAUGGUCCGUGAUGGACCUUCCACCCAUCUUGCUGGAUUCUGGAGUCCUUCUGUAAGUCUGCCAUUAGUCGGCUAGGGUGAAAUCCUCACAUCAUCGCCGGUGGUGUUCCCUGUUUCUCCACUCUCGGUCAGAGGCUCUAAGUGGCUAGUGACCGCUCUGUGUGUUGGAACUAUUGUCCACAAGCGGCCUCUUGGGGACCUGCCUCUCUUCCCCCCUCCAGGGCUGAGCUGGCCUCUCAGGGAGGCAAGGCUGAGCAGACUCCAGGGCCACCUGACCUGCUGGAUGGCCUUGGGCCAGGCCCUUCCCCUUGGUGGUAUGCGAUCGAGCAGGGGCUUGGAGGUCUCUGCCGGCCCAUGUAGCUGUGGGGUACAUGUCGGCACCGGAACAAGCUGCGGGGCGGGGUGGGGACACUCGCCUCGUUUGCCACAGCUCCUGCGGGCCCCAAGUGCCUGCAAACCACAGGCCUGCAGCCCACGGGCCUGGGCACAGGAGGACAGCAGGGGCACGGGGCCGUGCAGGGCUGGCGGGAGGCCAGGGGGAGCUCAGGUGCCUUUGGGUGGGGAGGACUUUUGUGUCCAUGGUGGUUCUAGUGUGGGACCGAAAGACACAGGAGCAAGGCCUGGGGUGGCUUCAUCCCUGCCUGGCCUCAGUCUCUCCUCCCCGCAUCGAGGGGCUUGGACCAGGUGACCUGGAGGGGCUCCCCCUGUCCUAAUGGGAGAUGUGUGACAGUAGGCAGGGUGACCAUGUUUUGAAGGGCCCAGGGGCGAAGCAUGGGGAGCGGGUGGAUUUAUGCAGGGAUGUGGCCCCAGAGGGUAAGCUGGGCCCCGGCACCAUGGCCAUCCUGCCACCAUGCCUGGGGUUGUAAGCGAGUCAGGUCACCAUUCUUGGCUGUGCUUUCCAUAACCGAAGCACUGGCCUCGAGGCCUGUGAGGGAGGGGCUGAGGGAGGCUCUGAGAAAGCCCAGUCUCACCUGAGCCCAAGGCUGAAUCCCCACCGGGAGCCUCAGGGUGGGGGGCUGCUGGUGGCCGGGGGGGCACCCACAGACCCUCAGAUGACAUAGGGCCGUGGGGCAGGGGUGAAGCUUUCUGGGGCUGGUUGCACCAAACAUGGCAGUGUGAAUGAAGUCUUGGGCUCUGGUUUUGCCCGAAACCCCCGUGGUGUCCCCCAGGAAGGUCCCUGGAAGGGGGCGGGACUGAUGAAGAGUGGGGGUACCCAGAUGUCAUGGGCGUUCAUGCCUCCCCAGGGCUCUGACGGCCCACCGGUACUUCAGUCCUCUUCAGUGGUCAUCAGCGAGUUCUUGUCCCUUGACAAGUGCAGAUGGACUUGUCUUAAGGUGGCCCUGAGUUGGCGCGACGCUCUAGCCCCACUCCUUCGGGAUCUGUGAGCUCUCCCUGGAGUUCACAUUCACCAGGAUGCCCCCACCCACCGUCGCUGGGCCUUGUCCACCACCAGCUGAGCUGGAGCCUCAGGACAGGGUCUCGGGAGACCCCGAGGGCAGCUGGGUCUGUUAGCAGAACCUGACAGCAAAACCAGAGACAGUGAGGACAUUGACACGGAGGUCAGCGUUCAUCUGCAGAAGCGACACCUGGAACCAUGCUGCCACCUGCCGCGUGGGUGCCUCAGGGAGGCCGAUGGAGAUGGGUCACCUGUAGGGACCCCAGCAAUGACCUCUCCCACCUGCUGCAAGAGCCCCUUGGCUGCAGUGAGAAUAUGCUAGCAUCUACGUGGGAGGUCAGGCUGGCCACGGGGGACUCCAGCACCUUGGUUUGGCCAAGGGUCCGUACCAGGCUGCAGGCAUCCCCAGGGAUAAGCAGAGGUGACAACAGAUGAGUGGAGAGGAGCUGUGUACUCACCCAGUGAACCUUGCCAAUGCCUCCGAGGAAAGGUGACCUCGGUGACCAGGGGGCUGUUUGCGUCCCCUGGGUCCCAUCCUGCAUGGGGUCCUGCUCACUGCUGGAGAAAGAGUCCAGAAGACACUCGCCGUCUGUGUGCUCGGGGCAGGAUGGGAGGGCUGUGUCUUGGCAGAUGGCACCGUGGGAUUGGACCUUGAGGAAUGAAGUUGCCGGAUGGAGGGAUGGCCUGCCCAGCAAGACAGAAAGGCAGGGACAAGGGCUGGGAAGUGGAGAAGGGCCUGGCUUCCCCAGAAUGUGGAGGAUUGGGAAAAAGUCAAGGAGAGGUCAGGUAAACCCAAAGCGAGAAAGGCUUGCAAAACCAGUGGGGGACUUUCCCCACAUUUCCCGAUUUUCAGCCUCCCACGAUGUCGUUCUCUGUUCCGGUGAUGGUUGUCAAACACCCACCAGUUUUCUCCCUCUUGCCAUCAAGACAUGGAGGCAACAGCCCCUCCCCUUCAACCUUGGCCUUUGACAAUGCAAUGGCAUGGCCGGGCCACUGGCCUUCUGAGGCUGGGUUCCAAAAGCUCCCAUGCCCUCUGCGUGUUCUCCUGGACACUUGUGCUGGGAGCAUUUCACCACUGCGUGAGAAGUCGGCCACCCCGAGCAGCCAUGUGGGGAGACCACGUGGGGGCACCAGAUUGAGAGAGAGAGAGAGAGAGAGAGAGAUGGAUGCCUGGCAGACCCAGCUCAUGUGGGAUCCAGUUACUUGGGUCUCCCUGCCCAGACCCUGAGCAUGUGAACGAGAACACUUUUGGGGUGACUGCAGCCUUGGCCACCGUCUGACUGGAACCUUAGGAGAUGCCCCCCUACCCCAAACAACAGCUGCCUAGCCAAGCCAGUCAAGCCCAGAUUCGGGAGCAAACCACAUAACUGCUCGUGUUUCAAGCCACUGUUUGGGGGUGUCUUUUGGAUGCAGUAGCAGAUACAUAGAACCAUCCUUUCUCCAUUAUCUACUACCCACCUUUCAUUACAAACACUUAAAUGCUUCCUUUUUAAAACCGGAAUUUAUUACGAUGGGAAGCGUCAUAUCCCCAUUGUAUGUGGAAGUCCAUCGUUGAUGGCAAUAAAUGGAAGACAAUUGUAGACAGCAACACAGGAAACAGAACUACGUGAUCAGUUUCUGCGUAGGGACAGCCCCCGGCGUGGGGCUGAGUCUGGCUGGUGGCUUCCCAGCACUCACAGAACCCGUUCCCGAGCCCCCUUCUAAGCCUUGCCACCCGCUGAGAUGCACCCCUUUUGGGUUCCUGCCCCAUGGGGCCCAUCUUCCAAGCCUCUUAAGGUUCACUAUUUUUAGCCUCUUUCCCUUCUUCCUCCAGCCCUAGGGAGAGGGGCUGCUUUCUGAAAUUCUUUGAGAAUUCUUGCUUUGCCUUUUCAGUUCUUCAGUUGCUGGGUGUGGUAAGCAGCAUCAUUGUUGCCCCAAAAUAGCCAUGACCUAAUCCCCAGAGCCUGUGAAUUAGUCACCUUACUGGCCAAAGGGACUCUGUAGAUGUGAUUAAGGAUCUUGCAAUAAGCAGAUUAUCCUGGAUUACCUGGGUGGCCCCAAUCUAAUCACAAGUGUCCUUGAAAGUGGAAGACAGCAGAACAUCAGAGGACGGAACACCUAGAAGCUGCAAGAGGCGAAGAAAUGGAUUCUGCCCUAGAGAGCUUCCAGGAAGGAGCACCGCCCAAUGAGAGCUAUGUCAGAUUUCUAACCUCCAGAACUGAAAGAUAAUGAAUUUAUGUUUUUAGCCACUAAAUUUGUGAUAAUUUGCUAUAGCAGCAAUAGAAAGCACACAAUAUAACAGGCGGUCAUCCUCCCCGGCCCUGAGGACACACACUCCCGUUCCCUCAAGUCCCGCCUGCUCCCUGUCACUCCAGAUGGUGGGCAGACCCCCCCCCCCCCCGUCCCGCCUUCUUCUGGCUUCUCUGUUAAGCCAAAGUUAAAACAGUGGACAACCUAACCACCUGUACCACCUAUCAGAACAUGGGCUAGAAAACCGAUUCAGAAGUGGAGGGUAAAAUGAAGUCCUCAUGCAUGUAAAUAAAUAAUAGAUUUGGUGUUGGUGAACAGAAUAUCCAAGAUAGCCCUAAAGUUUCAGGAAUUAAUGACUGAGGCUGUGCUCCUGAUGUACUAGACAAUAUAGAAAAAAGCCUCUGUUGAUUGAGAAAAGAACUAUAAAUUUAGCUUUGAACCACUAUCUCUAUAAAAAAAAGUGAUUUAUUUUCAUGCAUCUGUUACUCAUCUAUUUGAAAGCUGGGAAGUAAAUCUCUGCAGUGUUUAUUGACUCUAGGAUCUUCUACUUUUCAGGGUGUUCUUAUCAGGCCUGGGAGGAAUAAUAAUGUAGCGCCUGGGGGCAAAGAGGCAGCCUCGUAGCUUGGCACUGACGGCCAAGAUAGAAAGGAUCUCCAUGGCCAUGUUGACCUUCCCCUUGGUGCUGUGAUCGACAGGGAGGGAGGUGACCCAGGCACUGCAGGAGACCAGCAUGCUUGAACUUGGCUUCAUGAAGCCCCAGUGAUGCUCCCCAGGGCCAAGGAUCCCAGGUAUCCUUGGACAUAGGAGAAGGCAGUGACAGAGCCCUCACUGCAUCCAGUGAUGAUGUGUGUAGAUGCAGAGUGUGUGUUCAUUUCAAUGAAAGGAGGAAGAGGUCCCAACCAGAUUCUACAGAUAGUGACUUGGAUCAAGGCACAGAUGGGAAUGACAGUUAGGUGCUCCUGAUAACAAUCCUGCUUCAUCCUCCUCCUUGGCACAGUUGUCUUGAAAGCGAAAAACCGGUGAUGAUUUUAGCCAAAACAGGGGAAGUCGCCACAGCGAACACAAAUGCAAACGUCAUUUGUUGAAGUCGGUAGGUGCCUUUGUUGGGAGGAGGGCCAAUGAAGAAGAAGGAAGAGGGGAAGCACAGGAAAAAGGAGGUGAGCAGGAUAUAGCUGAGAGUUGGCUGUUGGCCUUGACAAAGGGAAUGUCUUGGUGCUUCACAGAGAUCCCGAGGACCACAGCCAGGGGACCGAGAAGCAUACAUUUGUGCAGGCUGGACCCAUCCCAGUGGGUCUUGAUAAGUCAGGAAGGUCGGUUUCUUUGGGAGAGAGUGAUCUUGAUUUGGGUUUGAGUACUAAUGAUAUGGUAUGAAAUUUGUCCCUGAUUUUCGUUGAAGUGAUCAGUGGUACCACCUCGCCUCUGGAAGAUACUCAGGGCAGCCUCAGCUCACGGCCUGGCUGGUCUGGAUGAUGGAUUCUCCCCAGACUUCCUCCUUGCAUGCUAAGGGGGAGGCUGCAGUUGCUACAGCAUUCUGCCAAACCCGGAUUCUUCCCUUGGGCCAAGAGGAGCAGUCAAUACAGAAACUAAAGGAGAAAGCUUUCUAAGUAGAAAUCUCUGACCAUUUGAUGGGAUUUGUUCCACUGGUUGGAUCUAGGACCCUGGAGAACGGGGCUGUGGUCAAUACUGCAGAUUGGCUUCUUCCUGUGGCUUGAAGUCCUGCUCAUAGUUGGCGUAGUUGUUGUAUUAAUCAAACUAAAU